UGGACCAAUGAUGAGAGUGUAUCAUGAGCUAAGGCUUAUCAUUAACACAAUUCUGGCACCAAAGUCCAAG
rnacentral:snoRNA from 1 species